AUUGAACGCUGGCGGAAUGCUUUACACAUGCAAGUCGAACGAUGAUACCUAGCUUGCUAGGUUGAUUAGUGGCGAACGGGUGAGUAAUGUAUCGGAACGUAUCCAAUAAUGGGGGAUAACUAACCGAAAGGUUGGCUAAUACCGCAUACGCCCUACGGGGAAAGCAGGGGAUCUUCGGACCUUGUGUUAAUGGAGCGGCCGAUAUCUGAUUAGCUAGUUGGUGAGGUAAAAGCUCACCAAGGCGACGAUCAGUAGCUGGUCUGAGAGGACGACCAGCCACACUGGAACUGAGACACGGUCCAGACUCCUACGGGAGGCAGCAGUGGGGAAUUUUGGACAAUGGGCGAAAGCCUGAUCCAGCCAUUCCGCGUGAGUGAAGAAGGCC
rnacentral:rRNA from 1 species